rnacentral:rRNA from 1 species
UACGAAGGGGGCUAGCGUUGCUCGGAAUGACUGGGCGUAAAGGGCGCGUAGGCGGAUUGUACAGUCAGGCGUGAAAUUCCCGGGCUCAACCUGGGGGCUGCGCUUGAGACGUGCGAUCUUGAGUGGGGAAGAGGGUCGUGGAAUUCCCAGUGUAGAGGUGAAAUUCGUAGAUAUUGGGAAGAACACCGGUGGCGAAGGCGGCUCUCUGGACCGAGACUGACGCUGAGGCGCGAAAGCGUGGGGAGCAAACAGG